GGCACGCAGCAGGCGGCAGGGAGCGGCCGGAGGGAGGCCCCGGGGCUCGGGGGAGCGUCCGCCUUCGGCUCCGGCUGGGGUCCGGGCCCGCGAUCGACCCCGCGUCGGGCUCCCUGCGUGGGGCCUGCCUCUCCCUCCGCCCCCCCCCCAUGUGUGUCUCAUGAAUAAAUGAAUCUUUAAAGAAAAAGAAAAAAAAGAGGAGCCCUUGCGUGCUGGAGGGACCUUCACACGGUCGUUCAAGCUCCUCGUUCUCAGCUCCGAAGCUCGGAUGUCACGUUUCCGACCCCCCAGCAGAGGGCGGAGCCCUCCUCACGCCCCGGGAGCGCCCUCCACCUCUGUCUGCACAGCACCGUGUAAAGUUAGGAUCGUGCGUUUUGCGAAAACGAUUUAACGUGUCUUCAGACCUGGGAGGGAUGGGAAUUUCUUUGUCCGUCCCCCGUAGUCCAAGAACCUAGCACAAAUCCUCGCAAGCGUGACUGGUUGGGAAACCCAGACUGCAACCAUUCAAGACAAAUUCCCCCAGGGCCCAGCAGAGGACAGAUAACAUAAAGUGGCCCAGUCGGGCUAAAAGAAAGGACUUGUUCCAUGACUGCAAAGGAGACACACUCUUCAAAUGGGGCAUGGAUUCACAAGCCUAAAUCCCUAAUUGCUGCUGGCAGCUGUCUCACAAGCACGAGAGGAACCAGCUCAGGACGUGGAUGGCACAGAAAAUCAGGGAGAAGUUAGACAGUAAAAGAUCAUAAAUCCUACCCUGUUCAGGCCACUGUGUUGGGUUUUCUGUUACUUGUAGCCAAAAGCCACCUGUCAUGAUUCUAUCAAAAAGCAGGAAAACAAAAGAAUAAAAGAAGGCAGCCUUAGAGUCUCUGCCUGGCCUGUGUAACCAAUGUGUGCGGAGCUCCUGUGCUAAGCCCCAAGGAUUGUAACGCUAAACUGACGUGAGUUGACUCACCACUUUAUGGCGUACACUUGUAAUAGGCCCGUGUUAAUGAAAGUAAUCAUGGGAGUCUCUCUUUGGCUGUUGAAAUAAACAAGUAAAUGACCUAACUGAAACAGCUGGUGUCUGGGGAUAGGUAACAUUAUCUUACAGAGUAUAUUUCUGUGGGCUGUCUCCACCUCAAGGGCCCUCUGGGAAAGAGGACCUUUCUGCAAGAAUGCUUGCAGUGUGGGCUGAAAUGCAGCAUGUACUCUAAGACGCUGGGCCCUUCCUUCUCUAUCACCGCCUAUCCCCUGUUCUUGCUCAGUGUGGAACCCAUAGGAGAUGCUAUCUGAUGGAGUGAAUUCAGAAACCAGUGAGGAACUGAGGACAUUUUAGGGGCUGUCAACUUUCUCACGGUAUCUCUGUUUCUCAUUUCACAUCAGCAUGGCUCAGCCCUUGCCACCGCACAGCCGCGUCUGCUUACUCAGUUUCAGCUUCCUCAAAACUUUGGUUUACAAGUAGGCAUUAUGGAUGUCCUGUACCAUCUGUGUGUCACUAACCAACUCUUCUCCACGUGUCAGGACGGCUCAAUGUCAGCACUCAUGGCCGAUGCUUCUUCGGGCUCUCCGGUUCCAUCCCAGGGAUCACAAGAGGCCCAGCUCGUCUCUGUGUGCCAGGCUGUGCUGUGAGGCAUUAGCUGCAUUAGAGUCAGGCCAUCCUGUCCAUCUUUUGACUCUCCUUAGAUAUGGAGUAGUCAUAAUUUCUGUUUAUUUCACAGAGUCCCUGUUGUAAUAGUUUUGUCUGGCUGAAAAUGUAGGUAGAAACAGAAAAUAGAAGUAAAAACAGAGUCAACCCAUGGGGACAGAGUUAGGCCUUAAAUUCCCAAGUCCAAAACAAAGCCACACUGACCUGCUGUUGUGUGAAUUCAUUUAGCUCUCACAAUGACUUGUGUUUUAUUUUUACAGGGGAGGUGAGACUGUGUGGCCAGGAUGGGUUUUGGUUUGACUUUUUUCACUCAUUUUCUUUGACCAUUGUUAGUAGCAACCUCUUUGGGUUCCUUUUCUCUUGUGCUUUAAAAAAAACUGUGAGACUUCUGCAAGAGUCAGGCAUUCACCUACAGAAAGAGGGAGGCAGGAGAGAGAGUAGGUGAAAGAAAAGGGGCUUCUGCUUCCUUCUGUUUGAAGAAGUGCAAGACGCAGGACUGAACCUGCCUGUUCAGCUUCAACUCCACUCCUACGGUUCCUUGUAAACCUGUCUAUCUGUAAAGCAUUCACAAAACAGAUAGUGGGCAGCUGCAGUGUAUUUGUGUUUAGAUGGACCCGACAGAAGAGGUCCAAGGAGAGGAACUGAAGCACGUACGUGACACCAUCCAGCGUGUAGUUCUAAGCCUGUCCUAUGCAUGGAGAAAAUAACGGAUUAUUCAGUGAAUUCCCUUGGAAUGAGCAACUAUAACACGUGAGAAGAACAGGCUUCACGUUUCAAACCAGCAUCCAUUCCAGACAGAUAAAAUAUUAUCAUGGAGAAAUAAAAAAAUUAUAAAAAGUGUUAUAUGAAAUGAUUGGCAAAUAGAGAAUCUCAGGGCGGGGAAAUCUUUCCUGAGCCGAACACCGAACCCAUAAGCCAUAACAGAAAACAUCCAUAAAUUUGGCUACAUAACGACUUAAAACUUAUUUACGUUAAAAAAAAAAGGAUAACUGUUGUCUGGCAGCAAACAAAUUUAAAAAUAUUUGAAAUACAAGUGGCAAAGCUAAUAAUGUCUUUAUUUUAUAAGUUCUUAGGAAUCUUACGGGAUUUCUUGGGUAAAUACCCAAUAAAUAAAACUGGCAAAACGAAUGGCCAGGUGUCAUAGAAAAUAGCUGUCCUUUGGUGCUGUUCAGCAUCUCUUCUGCUAGGGGCACCUUGCUUUUCAGCUCCUGGGGUGGUGCAGGCAGGACUGGCCUGGCCAGGCUAGCUGUGGUCAUGGUCACAUGAUCUCAGUCCAUCCAAUGGCAGGAUUCCAUCUGUUGAUACAGUGAUUGGCUCAGAUGGACUCUGACCCAUUCUGAUCUAGUCAAAGCCAAUCCCUUGGCUUAUUCUGGAGGACCAGGAGUGAAUGUUCCUUUUGUUGGAUUUGUAAUCCUAAAGAUAGAAGUCUGGAGUUGCCAAGGGCCAUCUUGUAAAACUUAAGAAUGAAACAACUCAAAAAGGUAGGGAUGCAGAGAGAAAGACCUUGUUUGCAAUGGACAUGUUCUGGGUCUAGGUUCUGCCCAUCCUCUACAGGAGCUUUUUCCUGGACAUUUCUGUGGUGAGCCUGUGACUUCCCUUUCUGAUUAAGCAACUGUGACUUCUAGUUCCUUGCGACUGGAAAACUUCCAACUAAUAGAAGCAGUACAUAUCCAUGCAUGCACCCACAUGGGAAAAAAAAAAAAAAAAA